UAUGGAGGGAGCUAGCGUUGUUCGGAAUUACUGGGCGUAAAGCGCACGUAGGCGGCUUUGUAAGUUAGAGGUGAAAGCCCUGGAGCUCAACUCCAGAAUUGCCUUUAAGACUGCAUCGCUUGAAUCCAGGAGAGGUGAGUGGAAUUCCGAGUGUAGAGGUGAAAUUCGUAGAUAUUCGGAAGAACACCAGUGGCGAAGGCGGCUCUCUGGGACGGUACUGACGCUGAGACGCGAAAGCGUGGGAGCGAACGAGG
rnacentral:rRNA from 1 species